CAAAAAGCCCCCAUCGCUUGUUAUAUUCCAACUCGAAGGUGACUUGACGGUCAGUACAGAUACAAGUAAGCACACAAAGGCACAAAAGAAAAUUACAAAGGAGGGUAAGAGAAAACCCAAAAGUAGAAGAAAGAAACAAAAUGGAGGGGAAGGCUGGCAGCGGAACCAAACCGAAACCCCUGGAGGCCGACAUCUCGGGUAGCGAGCUCCGCUGAGCAGCUUGUUCCACCCCUGACAAAGAACCACAUCAAGGCCUAGGGAGAAACAUACGGGCACCAGACCAACAACUCGCAAUGGGAACAACACUGACGGGAACGAAGGGCGUCGGAUAGCCGAGUUCAUGCGGCGACACCGGUGUGCGCCGGCGAAGCCAAAAGACAACGCACCACCGAGACUGAAGGGCACGACACCGGUGUACCGCCACCGAGGUCGAAGGGCAGCGUGCUGCCGAGGCCACCCCAGGAUGUCCAUGUGAACGUCAUCCGGGCCACCAUGAAGCACAUCCCUGGCGGAAAGGAGACACCGAAGUAGAAGCAUACUGAGAAGCAUCACUGGCGCGAAUGAAGAGCGUCGGAUAGCCGAGUUUGAGCGGCGGCACCGGUGUGCCGCCGGCGAAGCCGAGAAGGCAACACGCCACCGAGACCGAAGGGUGCAACACCGGUGUACUGCCGCCGAGGUCGAAGGGCGGCGUGUCGUCGAGGCCACCCUAGGAUGUCCAAGCAAGCUCCACUCGAGUUGCCAAGAACAAUGGCCAGCCAGGAUCGAAGCCGAGGUGGAGAUGAAGAAGCAAGAGGCGAGUCCACCCGAAGCAGAAGAAAUCCAAGAAGAUGCCCCAAAGGAGGAAACGACGUAGAGACGUCGACACCAUCCGACACGGGGAACCCCGGGUCCAAGAUUUCUCUCGGGAUCUGAGAGCUUGGGGGGAGGGGAACAAUGCCAAACUCGACGCCUUCAAGAAGGGAAAAUGGCGACUGCAGCCGUCAUCGUCGAUGAAGUUUUCACCCGGCAGUGCCUCCUCCACCUCGCAACCGGAGCAAGUCGGCGAACCACCACCGUAGCCCAUCAGUCUAGGCAGCCAUGAGCUGCGAAGCGGGCUAUGGAGACCAAAGAAGCGGCAACAUACCGGGCCGCCGCACGCAUAACAAGGUGAGGCUGAGGUGCACCGCGGCCAGCGUGAGGCCGCAACUAGAGAGCACGGGGAGCCGGUCGAUGAGGCCACACGAACCCGCCAGAUCUGGUGCAAAAGCGCGACCAACAGGAGACUGGCGACGGUAGAGGGACGAGUGGUGGGGCCCACCUGAACCCGCUGGAUCUGGCCAUAGACCGGCAAUGGCCUCGCAAAGGUGGCCAGCUGGGACCCCAUUCGCAACGGGGAGGCAGGGGACCGGUCAGGCGGUGCACCAGCCGCACAGAUCGAGCAAGGGGAGGCACCUGGGCGUAGAUUGAGCCGCCGGCAAGGGCGAGGUCGUCGGCCGCCGCAGCCCGCUGAGAGGCGGUGAGGACACGCGCAGCCGCCGCGUGAGGCGCCUGGGGAGACGCGGAAAGGAGCGGCGGCCAGGGGAGCGUCACCAGACGGCGGCGGCGACCGCCAUGGGAGUGGGAGGGGCGAAAGCAGGGAGGAGCCGCAUGGGGGAUACGCCCGCCGCCGCCAGCCACCGGCACGCUUCGCCCGACGACGUCAGCCGGCGGCGGUGAGGGGAGGUGGUGGAGGAGGGGGGUUCGGCGGCGGCAGUACUGGGGUUCCGCCCGAGUCGCCUCUAGGAGACGACGCGGGGCCGGUCCACCUUCAAUCCUUCUGACCUAAUCCUUCUAGGUAAAUAUCCUGUCGGCUCAGCCCACUCCACUCACUCACCUCUCUGCUUCCCUCGCAAGGAUCCCCUGCUCCAGCUCGCCGCCGCCGUCCACUAUCUUGCAUUAUGAAAAACUCACCAGUUCUAGAGAAGCUCACUCUUGAACUUUUUCCCAAGGGGCAAAAUCCCAAAUUGAAAAUAAAAGGAAGCUACUGUUACAUGGAGAAACCAUCUGCAAUAUCAGAGCACCUUAACAUAGUUGAAGUCAAGUGUGAUGUGGUCGACGAGAGAAUUCUCAAAGUUCUGAAGUUUCUGUGUGCAUUUAACAUACGUAAGUUGACUAAUGACACUUCACAUGCUCUCUAUAUUCUGAAAUUAGAUUUAAUAUACAUGUGCAAAAAGUAUAAAGCAGGUAGUGAAUAGGAAACUUCUGAAUUAUCAAUGAAGAACAGUUUGUAGGGAUGCCAAAUUGUUGUAGGCAUGAAAAAUCUGGAGCUUGCCUGGUGAGGGGCAGGCAGGAAAACCGAUAUAAUCCAUUUUGUUGUUAAAUGAUGUUUAGUCUAACCGUGUUGCCGAAACAAUUA